rnacentral:rRNA from 1 species
UAUCAAGCCGACGAUCCAUAGCCGACCUGAGAGGGUGACCGGCCACAUUGGGACUGAGACACGGCCCAAACUCCUACGGGAGGCAGCAGUGGGGAAUAUUGCACAAUGGGGGAAACCCUGAUGCAGCGACGCCGCGUGAGCGAAGAAGUAUUUCGGUAUGUAAAGCUCUAUCAGCAGGGAAGAAAAUGACGGUACCUGACUAAGAAGCCCCGGCUAACUACGUGCCAGCAGCCGCGGUAAUACGUAGGGGGCAAGCGUUAUCCGGAUUUACUGGGUGUAAAGGGAGCGUAGACGGCAAGGCAAGUCUGAUGUGAAACGCUGGGGCUCAACCCCGGGACUGCAUUGGAAACUGUCCUGCUGGAGUGCCGGAGAGGUAAGCGGAAUUCCUAGUGUAGCGGUGAAAUGCGUAGAUAUUAGGAGGAACACCAGUGGCGAAGGCGGCUUACUGGACGGUAACUGACGUUGAGGCUCGAAAGCGUGGGGAGCGAACAGGAUUAGAUACCCUGGUAGUCCACGCGGUAAACGAUGAAUACUAGGUGUUGGGUGUCACAGACAUUCGGUGCCGCAGCAAACGCAAUAAGUAUUCCACCUGGGGAGUACGUUCGCAAGAAUGAAACUCAAAGGAAUUGACGGGGACCCGCACAAGCGGUGGAGCAUGUGGUUUAAUUCGAAGCAACGCGAAGAACCUUACCAAGUCUUGACAUCCCCCUGACAGAGUAUGUAAUGUACUUUUCCUUCGGGACAGGGGAGACAGGUGGUGCAUGGUUGUCGUCAGCUCGUGUCGUGAGAUGUUGGGUUAAGUCCCGCAACGAGCGCAACCCUUAUCCCCAGUAGCCAGCAAGAAAGAUGGGCACUCUGAGGAGACUGCCAGGGAUAACCUGGAGGAAGGUGGGGAUGACGUCAAAUCAUCAUGCCCCUUAUGACUUGGGCUACACACGUGCUACAAUGGCGUAAACAAAGGGAAGCGAGGGAGCGAUCCGGAGCAAAUCCCAAAAAAUAACGUCCCAGUUCGGAUUGUAGUCUGCAACUCGACUACAUGAAGCUGGAAUCGCUAGUAAUCGCGAAUCAGAAUGUCGCGGUGAAUACGUUCCCGGGUCUUGUACACACCGCCCGUCACACCAUGGGAGUCGGUAGCGCCCGAAGUCAGUGACCCAACCGCAAGGAGGGAGCUGCCGAAGGCGGGACUGGUAACUGGGGUGAAGUCGUAACAAGGUAGCCGUAUCGGAAGGUGCGGCUG